AAAAUUGGUGAAAAUUCAAGGAAACAAGUGACAAAAGGUGAUGAGUCCUCCGAUAAAGGCAAGGAAAUUGCAUCCGAAGACCAAUAGUUAGAGUACUUCGAAAAUCCGCACUCUAGACAUUGCUCAGUAUAGGCUGUAGAUAGCUGAUAUUGUCGAAGGCUACAGUUGGCUUUACUUCCUCAAAAACCGUAGGUUUGCAACCUUCGUUCAUUUUUAUCAUUUUGGGGUCCACAUGUCACUGUAAAUUAAAUUUCAUACUCUAGUUAUCUAUACUACUAUAUG